AAUAGAUACCCCGGUAGUCCACGCCGUAAACGAUGAGUGCUAAGUGUUAGAGGGUUUCCGCCCUUUAGUGCUGAAGUUAACGCAUUAAGCACUCCGCCUGGGGAGUACGGCCGCAAGGCUGAAACUCAAAGGAAUUGACGGGGGCCCGCACAAGCGGUGGAGCAUGUGGUUUAAUUCGAAGCAACGCGAAGAACCUUACCAGGUCUUGACAUCCUCUGACAACCCUAGAGAUAGGGCUUCUCCUUCGGGAGCAGAGUGACAGGUGGUGCAUGGUUGUCGUCAGCUCGUGUCGUGAGAUGUUGGGUUAAGUCCCGCAACGAGCGCAACCCUUGAUCUUAGUUGCCAUCAUUAAGUUGGGCACUCUAAGGUGACUGCCGGUGACAAACCGGAGGAAGGUGGGGAUGACGUCAAAUCAUCAUGCCCCUUAUGACCUGGGCUACACACGUGCUACAAUGGACGGUACAAAGAGCUGCAAGACCGCGAGGUGGAGCUAAUCUCAUAAAACCGUUCUCAGUUCGGAUUGUAGGCUGCAACG
rnacentral:rRNA from 1 species